ensembl:scaRNA
ACAUCUAAAUUUAAUGUUUGGAUAUUAAAAAUUCACUGACCUGGGGAAGUCUGUCAAGAUGCACAGAAAUUUCCCUCUCAGUUUAGGAGGGCUGUCCUAUGAAUCAGGCUGGCUCCUAGAGAGGACGAU